rnacentral:rRNA from 1 species
CCUACGGGUGGCAGCAGUGAGGAAUAUUGGUCAAUGGCCGGGAGGCUGAACCAGCCAAGUCGCGUGAGGGAAGACGGCCCUACGGGUUGUAAACCUCUUUUGUCAGGGAGCAAGGUGCAGGUCGGGACCUGCUGUGAGAGUACCUGAAGAAAAAGCAUCGGCUAACUCCGUGCCAGCAGCCGCGGUAAUACGGAGGAUGCGAGCGUUAUCCGGAUUUAUUGGGUUUAAAGGGUGCGCAGGCGGAGGCACAAGUCAGCGGUAAAAUGGCGGGGCUCAACCCCGCUCCGCCGGUGAAACUGUGGCCCUUGAGUGCGCGAAGGGUAGGCGGAAUGCGUGGUGUAGCGGUGAAAUGCAUAGAUAGCACGCAGAACUCCGAUCGCGAAGGCAGCCUACCGGCGCGCAACUGACGCGCAUGCACGAAAGCGUGGGUAUCGAACAGGAGUAGAUACCCCAGUAGUC